AUUGAACGCUGGCGGCAUGCCUAACACAUGCAAGUCGAACGGCAGCAUGCUUAGUAGCAAUACUAAGUGAUGGCGAGUGGCGGACGGGUGAGUAAUACGUAGGGAUCUGCCUUGAAGAGGGGGACGAACCCGGGAACGUACGGCGUAAUACCGCAUGAUACUCUAAGGAAGGAAAGGGUUAGGCGCAAGCCAGUCGCUUUGAGAGGAACCUACGUCUGAUUAGCUAGUUGGUAAGGUAAAGG
rnacentral:rRNA from 1 species